CCUACGGGAGGCAGCAGUGAGGAAUAUUGGUCAAUGGCCGGAAGGCUGAACCAGCCAUGCCGCGUGAAGGUCAGUGCCCUAUGGGCGUUAAACUUCUUUUGUGCGGGAGCAAUAAUGGUCACGUGUGGCCAGACGAGAGUACCGUACGAAUAAGCAUCGGCUAACUCCGUGCCAGCAGCCGCGGUAAUACGGGGGAUGCAAGCGUUAUCCGGAUUUAUUGGGGUUAAAGGGUGCGUAGGCUGUGAGGUAAGUCAGCGGUGAAAUGCCUCCGCUCAACGGGGUGAAGUGCCAUUGAUACUGCCUUGCUGGAAUGCGGAUGCCGUGGGAGGAAUGUGUGGUGUAGCGGUGAAAUGCAUAGAUAUCACACAGAACACCGAUUGCGAAGGCAUCUCACGAAUCCGCGAUUGACGCUGAUGCACGAAAGCGUGGGUAUCAAACAGGAUUAGAUACCCCUGUAGUC
rnacentral:rRNA from 1 species